CCUACGGGUGGCAACAGUCGAGAAUCAUUCACAAUGGGGGAAACCCUGAUGGUGCGACGUCGCGUGGGGGAAUGAAGGUCUUCGGAUUGUAAACCCCUGUCAUGUGGGAGCAAAUUAAAAAGAUAGUACCACAAGAGGAAGAGACGGCUAACUCUGUGCCAGCAGCCGCGGUAAUACAGAGGUCUCAAGCGUUGUUCGGAAUCACGGGGCGUAAAGGGUGCGUAGGCUGUUUCGUAAGUCGUGUGUGAAAGGCGCGGGCUCAACCCGCGGACGGCACAUGAUACUGCGAGACUAGAGUAAUGGAGGGGGAACCGGAAUUCUCGGUGUAGCAGUGAAAUGCGUAGAUAUCGAGAGGAACACUCGUGGCGAAGGCGGGUUCCUGGACAUUAACUGACGCUGAGGCACGAAGGCCAGGGGAGCGAAAGGGAUUAGAUACCCCAGUAGUC
rnacentral:rRNA from 1 species